rnacentral:rRNA from 1 species
UACGUAGGGGGCUAGCGUUGUCCGGAAUCAUUGGGCGUAAAGCGCGUGUAGGCGGUCCGGUAAGUCCGCUGUGAAAGUCGAGGGCUCAACCCUCGAAUGCCGGUGGAUACUGUCGGGCUUGAGUACGGGAGAGGCGAGUGGAAUUCCUGGUGUAGCGGUGAAAUGCGUAGAUAUCAGGAGGAACACCUGCGGUGUAGACGGCUUACUGGACGGUAACUGACGCUGAGGCACGAAAGCGUGGGUAGCAAACAGG